UAUAAUAGUUGUCUAUCUCCUGGUGGUGGCCAUGGAGCUCAAUAUAGCUCUUUAUAGUGCAAUCCCCGAACUGCAGAAGGUCCAUGAUCCCCCUGAUCCCCUCUUCCCCUCCUUGUUUAGUUCCAUGUAGCAUGACCUAAAAACGACUCCAGAUAUUCUGCUUCAAAAGCUUUCACUACCAAUUGUAGACAUUUCUAACAUUUUGCAUUUGCAGUCGAUUUUAUACAGUAAAGAGACUUCAUGCCAAAAACUCAACCUAGCCUAAUCCUGUUUGGCUAGAUUUUGUAAUUUUAUCAAGUUGACUCAAUGUUGGGUGUAAUGGAUUGGGCAGAGGCCAAAGCUUUACCCAACUCAAGUAAAGAGUAUAGUUUUAUUGCAUGAUUUAUGUGAAACGAUAUGAAAUAGAGCGAUAAACAAAGAAACUUUUCAUUGCACUAGUACUCCACCAGCCACCGAUCUCCCCUCAUCAAUCUAGGCCAUGCAAUUGGGCUCUCCUCUCCCAUCCACCUGGUGCACUAUUUGGGGAAAGGGGUUCUUUCACUUCAUCUCUCUCUACCUCUCAGCAUCAUUGCUUCGUUCCAUACCCCAGUCAUGUUCGAUCACUAAGAUUUGAUAGAUCAGUGAAAAGUCAGAGCUCACCUGAGCUUGGCUUGAUUGGUAGACCAAGACUUACAAUCACUCUUUCUCAUGCGAUCUCUCGCUCACCAGUCUCCCACCUCUCUGUGCCUCUUAAAAUGCCUCCCUAUCUUAGGAUGCUCCAUCUGGUGGCUACUGCCAUGAACAACUACCCCACACCACUUGUCGGUAGGUCAGAGUUGAGCUCCCCCACUCCUCUGAUCUCUCUCUUCAUGUCCCAUGACCCACGGAUCCCCAUGUUUCCUCUCUAGCUCUCUCUCUCUUUCCCCCUCCCUCUCUUUCUCUCUUUUUCUCUCUAAUCUAGUUUGUCAGUCUCAUAGAACAAGAGGUGCAAGGGACACCUGAUCUUGGAGGCGCAUUUGGCUUAGGGUCCAAAACCCAUACCCGAGGUUGUAUGUGUGGAUGCUUGGAGGCUCAGCUGUUAUCUCCAUUGAAAAUCUCAUUUAUGGACAUGAGGUACACUUGGAAUGUUGAAAUGAUAAGGAGCAGGAAGCCAUACAAUCAUAUAAUUGGAGUAAUGUUUCUAAUUGCAUCCGUGUAUGUUUACCAUUAUCCAUAUGAAAUUGUUGUGCCCCAACAAUUUGAGGACAUCAGCAGCAUCUGUGAUCUCUAACAUUUCCCCCCAGUAUGUAUGUAACAAAUUUUACACAAACAUAGUUUUCAAAAAAGUUCGGGGCCAAAUAAAUAAUAACCAAACCUGUGAAUAUGUCAGCAUGGUAGAGUAUCAGUUAAUGAGACGGCAAUAAGAAAUGAUGUUCUGGCAUAUAAACAAUAACCUGGAAACUAUCAUGAUCUAUGUCAUGUUGGCAAGUCCAGACACACGGCAUAUUGCACGAUAUAGUAUGUAAAAUUGGCAACAUGAAACAUGGGGUUAAAUCACAGUGCAGUAAGGCAAUACAAGUGAAUAUUACAGCUGCAAAAUAUAAAUUACCGACUUCUGGUAUAAAAUGAUUUAAUACUUAGAGAAGAAAGGGUUCCCGAAAGAAUAUACCCUGAAGGAAAUCAAGGAAAAAUACUUUCUUUUAGAUUUAGUGUGUAACCUAAUUUUUGAGAGACCAAUUAAAACAAAACAAUUUUUUGUUUAUGGGAAACCAAGUAUUCAAAAAAUCCUCAUCUUCGAUAUGCUGGGAAAAAUACUCAAGAUCUAUUAUGCCAGCUCCAGAAAAAACUUCAUAGGAGCACAUGAGAGAAAAUUUUACCCAAAAGACUAUUUGCUUAAAAAAAUCCCUCAGAUUAUAGAAAAAAGAAACAACAAAAGAAUAAUUGAGGAAUAAAUACAGAAGAAGGAGACAGUGAAUUAAGAGUUGAGGGGAGAAGAUGGGUGGGUUUGGUUUAAGAGGGGUUUAAAAGAAAGACUGUAUAGACUUAAUGCCAGUUUGCUCAGUUCCUGCCCACAUUAUAUUAUUUGGGUGACCAGGUAUAAAUGUGCAAACCUGCAUAAAAAAGUUUGGAACUGACCAAAUAAUGUAACAAACAGAAAAACAUGCAUGGUACCAUGUUAUUUAUGAAAACAAUGAAUUUACAUUAGAGAAAUGAGUCUCCAGAACUCCUCCCAAUCUGAAGCAUUGGAAGAACAACCAAUUAUGUAUCCUACGAAAGGCCUAUAUGAACUCAACAAUGAUUUGAUCUUUCAAGUUAUGGAUAGAGUGACCACUUCCUAAUAUUCAACCUUGACCCAAAUACAAUGUUUUCAGCAUUGAUGUGCUUGGUUCCUUCAUGAAGGAAGAGAUCAUAAAGGCAUAUUAUCACACUAUAAUGUAUGAAAAUGCAGCUUAUUACAUCUUAGUAAGAAGAAACUGUAAGAACAUGAGUUUGCAGUAUGUGCUAUGGCUACGUAAUUCAAGUUCAACUGAAAUUCUGCUAACUAAUUAAUCCAGUGAAAAAAAAUGAACUAAAGAACAUAGACAUUUUGGGGGAAAACCUCGAAGUGAUGUUACCAUUCUAACCCAACAAAAGAAUGUUCCCAUCCAAAGCAUAUCUACUAUUUUUUCAAUGUCUUCCCAGGGGCAUGCAAGAGUUACUUAGCAAUGAUGACAACCACAGAAAUUAUCUGGCAUGUUACUUUAAAGGAAAAAAUUCAAUGUCACAAGUAUAGUUUGUGUAUAAUACAAUGAGAAGGAAUAUAAUCAUAAAUUUGACCACUACAGGAUGGUGAACUCAGUGUAUGACUAAGUAAUAAAGCACAGGGUCUGAAAUGAGAAGUUCAAAAUGAGAAGCCAAAGGAAGCUUAGAAAGUAAAAUAAAUAGACUACUACAUUUAAGAUGGUAUGGAUGUGUUUCCUAUACAUUAGAUGUAACCUAUUGAGGAGUCAUAAAUUCAAUUUCUGAUGCUGUAAAGAGCACUAGUUGACCAAAAAACCAAUUUGGCCAGAAGUACUAAGGAAAGUCCUGAAAGAAUUGAAGGACUUAAGCCAUAAAUAAGAAUUAAUGAGCAAGAACAAAUAGCUUUCCUUAGCCAUAAAUAAGAACUUUUCAUCCAAGAUAGAUCAACAAAACUAUCUUAUCUCUGACUAAAAAUCACACAUAUCCCUAUAUUUUUGUAGCAUGAAUAUGUAAUUCUUGCAUUAUGUAAACUCACCACACACUGUGUACAUGUUCAAUAGUAGCAAAAUGAAUACAUAGGAAGACCUAUAUGAGGCUAAGGAAUGGACCAGGCUCAAGUGAUCUCACCCCUUGCCCAGAUCCAACUCAAACCCAUGCAAUUAUGUCCAGUAGUCCAAAAGAGGAGACUACCGCAAGGUGAUAGUGGAGCAGCAGAUGGCUAUGUAACCCAGAUCCUUCAAUUUAGCCUUAAAACCCCACACCCAACACUUAAACAUGUUAUUGGUAAGCUUUUAAAUAUGAUUCUGAACUGCAUACUGUUUUUCCAUCGAAACGGUAUGGUAUUGAUACAGUGCCAGUACUAAUAGUGCAUAUCAAAAUUGAAGACAUCUGAAUGAAUGAAAAACCAUCAGAAUAGAUAGCUACAAUCAGUAAGGUAUUGUUGAUAUGAACGAAGAUGUCUUAUCUGCUGGUAUGGAUGAUUCCAACAUCCUAGUACCUCUACUAGUGCUGGUUUCACAUUUGAAUGAUAUGCUACUGAUGGUACCAUCUUGUUCCAAUGGUUUUUGAAUCCAUGGUUAUUGGUAUAGGCUGACGGAGAGACAAAAGUGAUGGCAGCCAUCAAGAGGACGGAGAUGUUUUGAUAUGAUUUUGGGUUAGAUUUAGCUAACCAUGUUUCAUUUAGUUUCAACAAUUUCAACUCCAGUUUCUCAAGGAAAUACAAUAGACAUUGUUUUAAAAUAUAUUACACUUUUGAUGUCCUUUUGGUGGUUUCAAGCUAAAGUUUUAAAACAUCAUUCAGAAGAUUACAAUAUAAAAAAGCUACUCUAACAUUUCAAUGUGUAAUAUAUAUUAGUGUUUGAUGGCAACCGAGAAUUUCUUAACAUUUGAAGUCAAAUAUGAGAAAGCUAUCUAAUCUUUGCAAUUAUUCACUUGCCCAGUUUUUCUUUCCUUUUCUCCUUUUCCUUUUGUGGGAGGGGAAGGGAGGCAAGAUGCCCCCAUGUGACUCUUUCACAUUUGAAUAGACUCCUUAACCGAGAUUGGUUUGGAAGAUGCUAAGAAAAUGCAUCCUAUGUCCUAAAAUUUGCAAUUUCAGGUUUAAUCUUAACAAAAUGCUUCUCCUAGGCUUGAUUUCUCACCAAUGAGUAAGUUUCCCCUUUAUUUUCCCAAAGUGAUAAAAAGCUGACCCAAAAAUAAAACUAGCAAGUCUGAAGUACUCAAGGAGACGAAGAACGUGAUCUAGACAAUACGGUACAAAAUUUAGCUUUAGACAAUGAUCCAAUAAGAGUAAUAACUGGGACUCUGGUAUCGAAUUUUUUAAUAACAGUAUCUAUUAGAAAUGAAUUCUCUAGCAUUUUCUUCCUUACCGCCGAAGGAUUUAUUAGUACACGUCGAAAGAUAACCUUCCGAUUCUCUGAUUCAAUCAAAUAUCCCAAAGGCCGAUGAAAGCCCGCCCAAUAGCAAGAAGGCUUUUUCAACGAUACUUAAUGACCAAAACAUUCAUUAAAUAUAGCAUCUACAUACAGUGUCAAUCAUUUCGGCCAAAAAUAGCCAAAAUCACUAACAAAUAUCCAGAUUGUAACUGUAACGGAUUGCUCUAGGCUAAAAGUAGCAUAUAUGAACAGGUUACUAGAAUUUAUACAAUUUCAAAUCUUUGGCUGAAACAUAUUUGUUUAGACCAAAACUACAAACAACAGUUUAUUCUCUUUAGAAAAAAUUAAAAUGGAUGUAUAGGAUAAUCUUUGCAUUGCAUAUGAAUGCAAACAAACAAAACUAAAGUUCCAAUAAUAUGACAUUAUAUAGCAAUGUUAGAGUAUUCAUUCACUUCAUCCACUUAAGUUGUCUUCACAAUUAUAUCACCCCUUCAAUGAAAUAAAUCUAAAUAAGAAAAGUAAUUUCCCUAAAGCAAGAUUUGAAAACUCAGGUUUGAGUUUGGUUUCAGUUUCAACCCAGAACAAUUGGGUUUCGGUCAUGAUUGUUUACAGCUUUACAUGUUUUCGCUCUAAUUCAGGCAUGUUUUGAUCAAAAAUUAUAACACAUUCGAAAAGCAUUACUUAAAACUAAGAAUUAUUAAAAAUGAAGCAGAACAAGGUUUUAAAAUCCAAUACCCGAGGGCUUGCCGGUUUUUUGAAAAAACGGGAUAGUACCAGGUACCAGCACAUGGUUGGGGAUUGCAUCCCUGUACCAACAUACUGUGUACCUGUGCCAGUUUUCUGCUGGAAUAGUACAUUAUCACUCAUACCAAUCCAAUACAACAAUUUUUAAAACCUUGGUUUAGAAAAAUAAAAUGUCAACAAUAAUAAAUUAGAUUCAAAAUAUACUACGUUGUCUAGCACUGGAGAUGUGUCAUGCUGGUAAA